AUGGCCGACGAAUCCGCCACGCAAAGCCAGGCCCAAGGGUGCGGCUCGUACCCCUUCUCGUUCCCUUCCCAGCCGCCGGACAUCAGGAACUGGUUCUCAAGUUACCAGUACGAGUCCCCGGAGGUGCCGGAGCUGGCUAUUGACCCUCCUGCUGUCGACAACGGCAGCGAGACCCAAGACCCGUUGGAGUUCCCGGUGGCUGGGCAUUCAUUUCUGAAAGACGCCCCUGGGAAUGGCGGCACUGAUUUGAAGAGGGACUGUUUUGGGAGCCAAGCUGAGCAUGCUGAGGCUUCUGCUAAGAGAGAUUUCCUUCCGAGUGGUGGGAGCACUGUUGAACAGGGCACGAAAAGGAAGCAAAGCCUGCGGGGGCUGUUUGGUUUUCUGGACCAUGAAGAGGGUACUCAAACUGAAAAUCGGGUGGCGUGGCCUGUGCAGAGAAGUACGGUGGAUCCUCCGUGGAACCGCAACUGGGUAGGCUUACAGAAUAGAAAGCGCAGCCAUGAAGGCAUGGUUGAAUACAGCGAGCUGCCGACAGAUAGUGAGAGCACAUGUAUAGCUGAGACUCAAGCUGAAAGUCGGGUGGCGUUGCCUGUGCUGAAAAGUGCAGUGGAUCGUCUGUGGGACUGCAACUGGAUAGGCUUGCGGAAUAGAAAGCGCAUCCAUGAAGGCGUAGUUGAACACAGCGAGCUGCCGACAGAUAGUGAGAGCACCUGUAUAGCUGAAACUCAGACUGAUAGUCGAGUGGUGUUGCCUGCGCUGAGAGGUGCAGUGGAUCCUCUGUGGGACUGCAACUGGAUAGGCUUAAGGAAUGGCAAGCGCAGCCAUGAAGGCGUAGCUCAACAUAGUGAGCUGCCGAUGGAUAGUGAGGGCACUUGUGUACCUGAAACUCAGUUAAACCCCCCGGGAGGUCAGGAGACCAAACACAGUAAACGUUCGGUUAAUUGUGGUGGUACUAGUUUAGCAGCAGAUACUGAAGAAGGUUUACCAGAAGAUGGCACUGAAAGCAACCUGCCAGUUAAUUUUGACAGUAAAGGCCUAGCAGAUGCGGGGAAAACUGAGCAAAGUCUGCGAGGGUUGUUUGAAGCAGGUUUUCUUGGCAACCGCGAUGAAGCUACUCAAACUGAAAGUCCGGUGGUGUUGCCUGUGCUGAGACGUGCAGUGGAUCCUCGUUGGGACUGCAAUUGGAUAGGCUUACGGAAUAGAAAGCGCAGCCAUGAAGGUGCAGUUGAACACAGCGAGCUGCUGACGGAUAGUGAGGGCACUUGUAUAGCUGAAACUCAAGUAAACCCCCCAGGAGGUCAGCAGAACCACAUCAAACAGCUAGUUCAUUGUGGUGGUACUAGUAAAGCAGCAGAUACUGAAGAAGGUUUCCUAGAAGAUCGCACUGAACAUAGCAACCUGCCAAUUAAUUUUCCUAGUAAAGGCCUAGCGGGUAGUGAGAAGACUAAGCGAAGUCUGCGAAAAUUGUUUGGAGCAGGUUUUCUUGACGAUGGGGAUGAAGCUAAUGAAUCUGAAACUUGGGUGGUGUCGGCUGUACAGAGAAAUGCAGUGCAGCCUCUGUCAAAUUGCAAUGCUGCAGGCUUGCCUCAUAUCGAACAUAUCCAUGAAGGCGCAGUAGGAUACAGUGAGCUACCGGCAGAUCACGAUGUCAUCAGUAUAGCUGAAACUCGAGAAAAUCCACCAGUGGGUCAGGUGAUUGAACACAACAGACUGCCUGUUAACUGUGGUAGUAUGAGUUUAUCAGCAGAUACCGAAGAAGGUUUCCUAGAAGAUGGCAUUGAACACAGCAAAGUGCCAGUCAAUUCUCAUAAUAAAGUCCUAUCUGACAUUGAGAAAACUGGCAUCGAACACCUCGUACUGCCUGUUAAUCCUAAUGGAAUUGGUUCAGCUGUCACAGAAGAAAGCUUUCCUGGAGAUGAAAUUAGACGAAGCAAGCCUAAACUGGAGCAUAAGAAAACAGAAGGAACAGCUGCGGCCGAUGGUUUUGUUGCCAUCAGGACAAAGGUGAAGCCAGCUGAGGAUCGCAGGAAAAACAAAAUGCCUAAGCUCUCAACACGAAGAGAGAACACAACAUUGCAAGAGAACCGCUACAUUUUGGGGACAGGUAGCACUAGAAGCCCCUUGUCAGAUAGGACCAAUAUCUCAGAAGUUGCAGGAGCUCCAGCACAGGAGAUCAGCGGCAAAUGGAAGUGCCCUCGCAAAGGCAAGCCCUACGUUGGCCCUCCGAUGAAACAGCUGCGGUUGGAACAAUGGGUGCGCCGAGUUUAA
rnacentral:rRNA from 1 species